UCCAAUUACACUUGAAUUUCAGAUAAUCAACAAAUACUUCUUUUUCGUACAGUUAUGCCCUGUUUAACCUCUACUGUUCCACUAGGGAUAUACUUGUAUUGCGCACUUACCUGUUGUUUAUAUAAAAUUCAAAUUUAACCAGGCAUCCCACUCAUGGGGCCCCAGACCAAACGGAAGCCCCCUCCCUACCCCUAGCCAAAUGCUGGUUGAGUUUUUUGGGAUGAUAAUGAGGAAAAUAAGGCCAGAAGACCCACAUUGCCCCUCAUCUAUAGCACCUGAAACUUGGAACCACCCAACAGAUCCAGUUCUGCCCUGCCCUGAAGAGAGUUGCCUUCAUUUUCAGCAGAGUCUAGAGAGUAAUUUAAAGUUUGAAUUGGCCCCU
rnacentral:lncRNA from 10 species